rnacentral:rRNA from 1 species
AGAGUUUGAUCCUGGCUCAGAAUGAACGCUGGCGGCAGGCCUAACACAUGCAAGUCGAACGGAUCCUUCGGGAUUAGUGGCGGACGGGUGAGUAACGCGUGGGAACAUACCCUUUGGUACGGAAUAGCCUCGGGAAACUGGGAGUAAUACCGUAUGUGCUCGAAAGAGGAAAGAUUUAUCGCCAAAGGAUUGGCCCGCGUUGGAUUAGGUAGUUGGUGGGGUAAUGGCCUACCAAGCCGACGAUCCAUAGCUGGUUUGAGAGGAUGAUCAGCCACACUGGGACUGAGACACGGCCCAGACUCCUACGGGAGGCAGCAGUGGGGAAUCUUAGACAAUGGGGGAAACCCUGAUCUAGCCAUGCCGCGUGAUCGAUGAAGGCCUUCGGGUCGUAAAGCCCUGUCGGGAGGGACGAAACCUUGGUGACCUAAUACGUCAUCGACCUGACGGUACCUCCUAAGAGC